GACCCAAGCUCCAGCCAAAAAGCCUCUCUCCUCCACUCAGGCUGGGAGGUUGCUUUCUAGGAGCUCAGGAUGCAAAGGUGGACACUGUGGGCUGCAGCCUUCCUGACCCUCCACUCUGCACAGGCCUUUCCACAAACAGACAUCAGUAUCAGUCCAGUCUGUUUCCUUUCUGCCCCCAGCCCUGCCAGAGCUGCCCCUGCCUUCCCUGUGCCCCCUGUUCUGGAUGGAGUUCAAAGGCCACUGCUAUCGAUUCUUCCCUCUCAAUAAGACCUGGGCUGAGGCCGACCUCUACUGUUCUGAGUUCUCUGUGGGCAGGAAGUCCGCCAAGCUGGCCUCCAUCCACAGGUCAAAUCCAGAGAUGCCCAUGUAGGACCGGCCACAUAUGGGUGACUUAAUGAAAAAUGGAGGCCGAAUUGGAUCAUAUCCUCUAUUUACUUUGGUCCAGGAAGCUGGGAGGAGAAUGUCUUUGUAUAUGACCUCGUGAACAGCUGUGUUCCCGGCAUCCCAGCUGACGUCUGGACAGGCCUUCAUGAUCACAGACAGGUGAGAAAGCAGUGGCCAUUGGGCCCCCUUGGAAGCUCCAGCCAGGAUUCUAUUUUGAUUUAAUAAGCUUUUCACAUCAGUGCCAGGUCACGGCUAUGCACACAGCAUAUAGAGAGAAAUCAGACACCAAGAUGUCACAGUUACAGCAUGACCAAUUUGUGAAAGACAUUUAAUGAUGUCCUACUAAAUGAUGGGAACAGAUAGCAUGGUCAGAGAAAACCUGUUUGGCUUGGGUUCUC
rnacentral:lncRNA from 1 species